AUGCACGACUGUAAUCCGGGAAACCAGCUUGAAAGCAUCUGGAUAAGAAUCAAGGGAACCGGGACUCAAAAAGAUCUUGUCGUGGGUGUCUACUACAGACCUCCGAGUCAGGAUGAAGGACUUGAUGAAGCCUUCUGUCAACAGCUGACCAAACAGGCACAAAGAAGAGAUAUAGUAGUCAUGGGCGAUUUCAAUUAUCCCGAUAUCUGCUGGAAAACAAACUCAGCCAAGAGUACAAAGUCCAACAAAUUCCUCACUUGCCUUGCAGAUAAUUUUAUGGUCCAGAAGGUAGAAGAGGCAACAAGGGGAUCAGCAACUCUUGAUCUAAUCUUAACAAAUGUGGAAGACCUGAUCAAUACAGUUGAAGUGGUUGGAUCCUUAGGGGCAAGUGACCAUGUGCUCCUGCAGUUUGCAAUACAAAGGAAUGCUGAAACUAAGACAAGUCAAACACGCAUUCUGGACUUUAAGGGAGCUGACUUCCAAAAAAUGAAGGAAUUACUGAGCGGCAUUCCAUGGACGCCGAUAUUAAAAAACAAGGGAGUUAAGGAUGGAUGGGAGUUUUUCAAAAGUGAAAUACUCAAGGCGCAAAUGCAAACAGUGCCAACAAAGAAGAAAAAUAAGACAAGUGCAAAGAAGCCAGAAUGGAUGUCCAAAGAACUUCUAACUGAGCUAAAGCUCAAAAGUGACAUGCACAAGAAGUGGAAAAGGGGAGAAAUCACCAAAGAAGAAUUCAAACGUAUAGCCAACUCCUGUAGGGAAAAGGUUCGCAAGGCUAAAGCGCAAAAUGAGCUCAGGCUUGCCAGGGACAUAAAAAACAACAAAAAAGGUUUUUUUGCUUAUGUUGGUAGAAAAAGGAAGAAAAAGGAGGCGAUAGGGCCACUGCAAGGAGUAGAUGGGGUGAUGGUGACAGGGGAUAGGGAAAAGGCAGAACUGCUUAAUGCCUUCUUUGCCUCGGUCUUCUCACAAAAAGAAAGCCAUCUUCAACCUCAGCAACAUGGAAUGGACGAAGGAUUGGGGAAAAUCCAACCCCAAAUAGGGAAACAAGUUGUCCAGGAACACCUGGCCACUCUAAACGAAUUCAAGUCCCCAGGGCCAGAUCAGCUACAUCCAAGAGUAUUGAAGGAACUAGCGGAAGUUAUUUCAGAACCACUGGCAAUUAUCUUCGAGAGUUCUUGGAGAACAGGAGAAGUCCCAGCAGAUUGGAGGAGGGCGAAUGUGGUCCCUAUCUUCAAGAAGGGAAAAAAGAACGACCCAAACAAUUACCGUCCGGUCAGCCUCACAUCAAUACCAGGCAAGAUUCUGGAAAAGAUCAUUAAGGAAGUGGUCUGCAAACACUUAGAAACAAAUGCGGUCAUUGCUAAUAGUCAACACGGAUUUACCAAAAACAAGUCAUGCCAGACUAAUCUGAUCUCUUUUUUCGAUAGAGUUACGAGUUGA
rnacentral:lncRNA from 1 species